rnacentral:tRNA from 2 species
UCUAUGGUGUAGUUGGUUAACACGCCUGCCUGUCACGCAGGAGAUCGCGGGUUCGAGUCCCGUUGGA